rnacentral:lncRNA from 1 species
GUCAACUUUAUCUAAUUUUUGGGCUAUCAUGUUUAAAUCGGCCUUAGGACUAGAGUCUGAAUAUUUGAUCCCGUAGAAUGAUGGAAAUAUCGAUGGAUUAUAGGUGGAAGGAAUAAAAUAUUUCUUCAUCUAUCUAGGUGAUUCUCCAGGGUUUUCAGCCAUUUGAUUUUUAGAUUUAACAUGAAUCAGCCGUUCAAUUUCAGGAUUAGGUUCAAUUAGGUUAGAGUAAAGAGAUCUCCUACCGUGCAUAGACUAGUGCAACCCCUAAUAUGCGUGGUUUAGAUUUUUUUUUAAAGAAGAGAGAGAAAGAAAAG